GCAAGGUUAACCGAAUAGGGGAGCCGAAGGGAAACCGAGUCUUAACCGGGCGUUAAGUUGCAGGGUAUAGACCCGAAACCCGGUGAUCUAGCCAUGGGCAGGUUGAAGGUUGGGUAACACUAACUGGAGGACCGAACCGACUAAUGUUGAAAAAUUAGCGGAUGACUUGUGGCUGGGGGUGAAAGGCCAAUCAAACCGGGAGAUAGCUGGUUCUCCCCGAAAGCUAUUUAGGUAGCGCCUCGUGAAUUCAUCUCCGGGGGUAGAGCACUGUUUCGGCAAGGGGGUCAUCCCGACUUACCAACCCGAUGCAAACUGCGAAUACCGGAGAAUGUUAUCACGGGAGACACACGGCGGGUGCUAACGUCCGUCGUGAAGAGGGAAACAACCCAGACCGCCAGCUAAGGUCCCAAAGUCAUGGUUAAGUGGGAAACGAUGUGGGAAGGCCCAGACAGCCAGGAUGUUGGCUUAGAAGCAGCCAUCAUUUAAAGAAAGCGUAAUAGCUCACUGGUCGAGUCGGCCUGCGCGGAAGAUGUAACGGGGCUAAACCAUGCACCGAAGCUGCGGCAGCGACACUGUGUGUUGUUGGGUAGGGGAGCGUUCUGUAAGCCUGUGAAGGUGUGCUGUGAGGCAUGCUGGAGGUAUCAGAAGUGCGAAUGCUGACAUAAGUAACGAUAAAGCGGGUGAAAAGCCCGCUCGCCGGAAGACCAAGGGUUCCUGUCCAACGUUAAUCGGGGCAGGGUGAGUCGACCCCUAAGGCGAGGCCGAAAGGCGUAGUCGAUGGGAAACAGGUUAAUAUUCCUGUACUUGGUGUUACUGCGAAGGGGGGACGGAGAAGGCUAUGUUGGCCGGGCGACGGUUGUCCCGGUUUAAGCGUGUAGGCUGGUUUUCCAGGCAAAUCCGGAAAAUCAAGGCUGAGGCGUGAUGACGAGGCACUACGGUGCUGAAGCAACAAAUGCCCUGCUUCCAGGAAAAGCCUCUAAGCAUCAGGUAACAUCAAAUCGUACCCCAAACCGACACAGGUGGUCAGGUAGAGAAUACCAAGGCGCUUGAGAGAACUCGGGUGAAGGAACUAGGCAAAAUGGUGCCGUAACUUCGGGAGAAGGCACGCUGAUAUGUAGGUGAAGUCCCUCGCGGAUGGAGCUGAAAUCAGUCGAAGAUACCAGCUGGCUGCAACUGUUUAUUAAAAACACAGCACUGUGCAAACACGAAAGUGGACGUAUACGGUGUGACGCCUGCCCGGUGCCGGAAGGUUAAUUGAUGGGGUCAGCGCAAGCGAAGCUCUUGAUCGAAGCCCCGGUAAACGGCGGCCGUAACUAUAACGGUCCUAAGGUAGCGAAAUUCCUUGUCGGGUAAGUUCCGACCUGCACGAAUGGCGUAAUGAUGGCCAGGCUGUCUCCACCCGAGACUCAGUGAAAUUGAACUCGCUGUGAAGAUGCAGUGUACCCGCGGCAAGACGGAAAGACCCCGUGAACCUUUACUAUAGCUUGACACUGAACAUUGAGCCUUGAUGUGUAGGAUAGGUGGGAGGCUUUGAAGUGUGGACGCCAGUCUGCAUGGAGCCGACCUUGAAAUACCACCCUUUAAUGUUUGAUGUUCUAACGUGGACCCGUGAUCCGGGUUGCGGACAGUGUCUGGUGGGUAGUUUGACUGGGGCGGUCUCCUCCUAAAGAGUAACGGAGGAGCACGAAGGUUGGCUAAUCCUGGUCGGACAUCAGGAGGUUAGUGCAAUGGCAUAAGCCAGCUUGACUGCGAGCGUGACGGCGCGAGCAGGUGCGAAAGCAGGUCAUAGUGAUCCGGUGGUUCUGAAUGGAAGGGCCAUCGCUCAACGGAUAAAAGGUACUCCGGGGAUAACAGGCUGAUACCGCCCAAGAGUUCAUAUCGACGGCGGUGUUUGGCACCUCGAUGUCGGCUCAUCACAUCCUGGGGCUGAAGUAGGUCCCAAGGGUAUGGCUGUUCGCCAUUUAAAGUGGUACGCGAGCUGGGUUUAGAACGUCGUGAGACAGUUCGGUCCCUAUCUGCCGUGGGCGCUGGAGAACUGAGGGGGGCUGCUCCUAGUACGAGAGGACCGGAGUGGACGCAUCACUGGUGUUCGGGUUGUCAUGCCAAUGGCACUGCCCGGUAGCUAAAUGCGGAAGAGAUAAGUGCUGAAAGCAUCUAAGCACGAAACUUGCCCCGAGAUGAGUUCUCCCUGACCCUUUAAGGGUCCUGAAGGAACGUUGAAGACGACGACGUUGAUAGGCCGGGUGUGUAAGCGCAGCGAUGCGUUGAGCUAACCGGUACUAAUGAACCGUGAGGCUUAACCUUACAACGCCGAAGGUGUUU
rnacentral:rRNA from 1 species